rnacentral:rRNA from 1 species
GACGAACCGUCCAACCGUUAUUCGGAAUUACUGGGCCUAAAGGGUGCGUAGGCGGCGCGGAAAGUUGGGUGUGAAAUCCCUCGGCUCAACCGAGGAACUGCGCCCAAUACUACCGUGCUUGAGGGAGAUAGAGGUGAGCGGAACUUAGGGUGGAGCGGUGAAAUGCGUUGAUAUCCUAAGGAACACCGGUGGCGAAAGCGGCUCACUGGAUCUCUUCUGACGCUGAGGCACGAAAGCUAGGGUAGCGAACGGG